rnacentral:misc_RNA from 1 species
ACAAGCAUGCUUGUGUGCGUG